AUAACAACAGAAAAGGGGGGGGCUCAGCCUGGGCCAACUUGGGCCUUCCCUCGAGUUGUUUUGGGCGCCAACUUCCACCCUUCCUGGUCUGAGGCUGUUUACUUUUCCCCCGUCAGCCGUUUAACCAGGUGAGGGGGGAAAGGAAGGGGCCUGAGGUCGGGAAGGGCGGGGGUUGGCGCCCAAAACAACUGGAGGGGAGGUCCAGGCCUGCUCGAGAGCCAUGCCGUCCUCUUCCUCCCUCACCUUGAAGUCCUCAGAGAAGAACCGGGGAAGAAGUCCUUGAGGCGGGCCAGGGUGCAGACGGCGCUGCGGAGGGCCCGGUAGGAGGAAGGCCGAGGCCGAGGCCGGGAGGAGGAGAGAGGCCCUUCAUCUACAUAAGUCAUUGAUAAAGAUGUUGAAUGGAACCGGGCCCAGGACAGAACCCUGCUUAUGGCACUCCACCCAUCACUUAUUUCCAGGAUGAAGAGAAAGCAUUGAAAAGAAGCUAAUUCAUCUGCGCAUACAUCCUAUCCCGCCUGACUGGUCGUCUCCUCCAGCGGAUGCUGCUGGGCCUCCGACUCCUUAAGGCUUUGUAUCGGAUGGGGAAAAGGAUCCUGCUCAUGACAUUCAGUCGUUCAUUCAGCUCCACCAACCUCUUCUUUAUUGAAUGUACUUGCUUCAGGAGGUUGUCAACUGCCUCGGAUACAGGCUGGAGACUGUAAACAAAAAGGAGUCAGUACUGGGGAAUGUAUAUUGUUGAGGGGCGAUUUGUUAUUUGUAGGAAUAAAAUUAUGUUUCACCUUCCUGAUACCUAAA